CCUGAUUGAUUGUAUGAUUCAGUUCCUGCAAAACUCAUCACAAUCAUCACAACCCAGAGAACAGAAGAGCAUCAACAGAACUGAUCUGACUUAGAAAACAUGGACAGACACUUGGUACUGAUAUUAAUCAUGAUUUCAGGUGUGAUGGCUGCAGACCAGAUUGGGCCAAACAAGGGUACAAAUGUCAUCAGUACAGAAGGAGAGUCUGUGACAAUGAGCUGCACAUAUGAUACAAGCAGCAGAACUGUUAGACUUUACUGGUUCAGACAGUAUCGUGAUGGAGAACCUCAGUAUUUAAUGUGGAAAGAGGCUCGAGCAUGGAGUGAUACUGGGACCCCAGCUGAACCUCGCUUUCAGUCGACUACAUCAGAAACAUCCACUGAACUCAUUAUUACUGGUGUAACUCUGUCAGAUUCAGCUCUCUAUUAUUGUGCUCUAAGAGUUGGAGCACAGUGAUACAAAGUCUUUGUGAACCCGUACAAAAACUCAAAUUAAUUUUUCACUUUAAUC